AUGACAGGUGGGGCCCGAUUUUGGGGACGUGGCGUCACGGCCGCGAGCUCACGCCGUCUAACGGCGUGGCGGCCGUUACUGCUCCGGCGUGUGGGUAAAAACAGACCGCCGACUGCCGUUCUGCUGCUCCCCGGUGCCAUGGUGUCGUGGAGCGACGAGACCAGUGAGGAUUCAGUCCUGAACAUCUCCUCCUCCUGCGAUGGCAUCAUCAAGCUUCCAGCUACGAUGCACGAUCCGAAUUUCAAUGGUACUGACGCAGAUGUGAAUGUGUUGUGUGAACACGGUGAGCCGGCCGAACGCUUUGUAGCAUUUGAAGGGAUGCACACGGGCAGGAGGUUUCUUGGAUGUGCUAAGGAAGGCAUAAACUGUGGAGUAGUUCAAUGGAUUGAUUUUGAAUGGCCAGACUCAAUGGAGAAGGCAUUGGCCAAGCUAUGGGAUAUGUAUGAGGAGACUAAGUCAGCUAGGACCAAUGACAAUCUAGAGAGUUCCUUUGCAAUUCACAACCUGACAGAAGAGAAGAAGAAACUACAGGAGAACUAUGACAGUUUGUAUGCUGAUGUGAAUGCUCUUUUGAAUGCCCAGCAGGAGAGGGGUGUGGAGUUAACCAAUCAAAAGGAGCAGAAGCAAUAUCUUGAAGUGAGGAUUGCUGAGCUUGAAACUGUAGUUGGCAACUUGACGGCAUAG
rnacentral:rRNA from 1 species